rnacentral:rRNA from 1 species
CCAGCAGCCGCGGUAAGACGUAGGACGCGAGCGUUAUCCGGAAUUACUGGGCGUAAAGGGCCAGCAGGCGGCUUGGUAAGUUGUGCGUGAAAGCCUCGUGCUCAACGCGAGGAAGCCGGACAAUACUGUCAAGCUAGAGGGCAUCAGAGGGGAGUGGAAUUCCCGGAGUAGCGGUAAAAUGCGCAGAUAUCGGGAGGAACACCGAUGGCGAAGGCAGCUCCCUGGGAUGCACCUGACGCUAAGAGGCGAAAGCUAGGGGAGCGAACAGGAUUAGAGACCCUGGUAGUCCUAGCUGUAAACGCUGGGUGCUAGGUGUGGGACGUAGAAGUUCCGUGCCGGAGCAAACGCGAUAAGCACCCCGCCUGGGAAUUACGGUCGCAAGGCUAAAACUCAAACGAAUUGACGGGGCCCCGCACAAGCAGCGGAGCGUGUGGUUCAAUUCGAUGCUACACGAAGAACCUUACCUGGGUUUGACAUGUACGUGGUACGAAGGCGAAAGCCUAAGGACCCUUCGGGGAGCGUACACAGGUGCUGCAUGGCUGUCGUCAGCUCGUGCCGUGAGGUGUCGGGUUAAGUCCCGUAACGAGCGCAACCCUUGCCCUUAGUUACAAGUGUCUAAGGGGACUGCCGGCGGGAAGCCGGAGGAAGGUGGGGAUGACGUCAAGUCAGCAUGGCCCUUAUGUCCAGGGCUACACACACGCUACAAUGGUCAGUACAAAGGGUAGCGAAGUCGCGAGGCGGAGCGAAUCUCAACAAAGCUGAUCGUAGUUCGGAUUGCAGGCUGCAACCCGCCUGCA